GGGAGGGAGGAGGGAAGGGCCCCUUGACCCCCCUGGGGCAGCCGGGGGUGGAUGGUGGGCCCCAGGCUGCUGGGAGGAGGACGGGGGAGGCCGCAGCUGAGACCGGUGGAACCCCAGCACAUCACUUGGAAGCUGUGGGGCCUCGGGCACAGGUUCUGUGGUUUCUGAGCCUCUGCAUCCUCUACUGUGAGGUGGGCCUAAACCACCUCGUUCCCCGGAGGGCGAAGGGAGGAGAUGGAUUUAGAAGUCUGUGUAGACAGCAAGGUGUGUGCCUCCCUCGACUUAGAGGAUCAGGCCGUGCUCUCCCCCAGAAAAACGUCUGAGAUGCUCCGGGGAGCCUACUGGAGCUGGGGGUGCCGAGCGCAGGCCAGUCACCCCUGGCCAGGCAGGCGGCCCGCUCCCAGGCUCGUCCUUCAGCGGCGGGUUGCUCCCUCUGCAGACCGCGUCAGCAGGCAAGGCCGCCCCAGCCCAGGGACGGGUGACGGGCCGCGAUCAGGUUUGGAAAUGUGUGUCAAACCCAAUUCCAACCAGAUGCGGCUGGCCCGCUUCCAGCGGCCGCCUGCCAUCCCAGGCCUGGCCAGGAGGAGGCCCACGCCCGGGCAGCCAGGCCUAUUUGUUCCCUGA
rnacentral:lncRNA from 1 species